AGGGGGUUCGCCAAGUCGGUAAGGCACGGGCCUUUGGAGCCCGCAUUCGAAGGUUCGAGUCCUUCACCCCCUGCCA
rnacentral:tRNA from 1 species